CCACAUGUGCCUUUCUUUUUCAUUGGUUCCCUUAUGUAUAUAUGAAUUUAUUUUAAUCAAAUUGACUUCCAUUUUUAAGCUCCACACCCAGUCAAUAAAUUUCGUAUAGAAUAUUGAAGUUUUUCACUAUAAAAAGGAAGCUGCUGUUACGCCCAUUGCAUGUAUUUUUGAGUGUUUGAUAAAGUAGGUGAUCUGAUCAACGCUUAAAACAGAGAAGGAUCAGAGAUGGGUUGGCUUUUAACGGCUUUCCUAAGCAGCUUGGUGGGGAUGUGUGUUGUUUUCUGCUGUGGCCUCUGUGGCUUCUGCUGUAUUGCUGCCACAGGCAACCGCCCCGGUCGAUAAAUGAUUUAUCAAUAAGAAAUAAUGGCUUGGAUGCGUGAGAUUGAUGUUGUCAUGUUGCUUUGGUUUUGCAACUUACGUAUGGUGCUUCCAUGCGUUCUGUUUGCCAAAUGCAAUACUGAUAUUCUAUCUUAACUUCCCAUUCCUUAGCUAGUUUGGUUUUCUUUUGGUUUUGAAUAUGACAUGUAAUGAUGACAAAGCAUCUCAUGAUGAUUUCUCAAUAAUGUGUGCUUGUAAUUUGAUGGAUUGGUAUUAAUAUCUUUGGUUGUACGUGUUAAGUUGAAA